UAGGGAAUCUUCCACAAUGGGCGCAAGCCUGAUGGAGCAACACCGCGUGAGUGAAGAAGGGUUUCGGCUCGUAAAGCGCUGUUGUUAAAGAAGAACACGUAUGAGAGUAACUGUUCAUACGUUGACGGUAUUUAACCAGAAAGUCACGGCUAACUACGUUCACA
rnacentral:rRNA from 1 species